rnacentral:rRNA from 1 species
CAAUAGCGUAUAUUUAAGUUGUUGCAGUUAAAAAGCUCGUAGUCGGAUUUUGGCUGAGAACGAUCGGUCCGCCGUUAGGUGUGCACUGAUUGGUCUCAGCUUCCUGGUGAGGAGGUGUGCUUCACGGCCACUUAGUCACCGUGGUUACUUUGAAAAAAUUAGAGUGUUCAAAGCGGGCUUACGCUUGAAUAUAUUAGCAUAGAAUAACACCAUAGGACUCCUGUCCUAUUUCGUUGGUCUCGGGACGGGAGUAAUGAUUAAGAGGAACAGUUGGGGGCAUUCGUAUUUCAUUGUCAGAGGUGAAAUUCUUGGAUUUAUGAAAGACGAACUUCUGCGAAAGCAUUUGCCAAGGAUGUUUUCAUUGA